UGCAUGGGGCUUGCCGAGGCUCUUUGAUUCUAUAUUUAAUAAAUUAAAAUAUUUUCAUGUUUGUAAGUCAGGAUUACCUCCUUGUCUAGCUCAUGAUUUGCUUGAGGGAAUUAUAGCUUUUGAUUUUAUGCUUAUGAUAAUAUUUUUUGUUUCCCUAGGAUGGUUUUCGUUUUCUGAUUUAAAUAGAAAAGUAGAAAAUUUUAAAUAUUCUUCUAAUGAUCAGAGGGAUAAACCUGCUAAAAUCCCCGAGAAAGGAAAAAGAAUUGUGGGUGAUGCUUGGCAAAUACUAGUUUUAUUUCGUCUGUUUCCUUUGAUUAUUGGUAUGGAAAAAAAGUUGAUCAUAAAAACGAAGUUUGGCUCAUGCUUUUAAAAUUAACUGAAAUAGUAGAAAUAGUUAUUGCACCUGAAAUUCACAAACCGUUUCUCUCAUAUUUGCAGUCUCUCAUCAAUGAGUAUCUUUAUAUGAGAAAGAAAUUAUUUUCCACCGUUGUAUUGCGACCCAAGCAUAAACAUACUUUUUUUAAAAGGGCAAUGAGAAUUGUCAAAAACUUCAAAGAUGUAACUGGGUCACUAAGUGAAAAACAUGAGCUUCUUCAAAGUAUGCUUCGGUCAGGAAUUGAGCUUAAAGUUGAAUUAAAUCUUAUAGAUGAAAGUGAGUUUCAUACCUUCCAAUACUCAAAAGAAAUUCAAAAAGCUGUCAAUGAUAAGAAAUUAAAUGGAAAUAUAUCUGAAGCUUGUUCCGUUGUUUCAAAAGGUAAUUAUUAUAAGAAAGGAGAUGCCGUUGUGAUUAGACAGAAAUUUUAUCAAUAUGAAGUUCAUAUUGGAAGAAUUAUAGUAAUAUUGUGUGAUGGAGAAGAUUUAGUCCAUUUCGUAGUUGAACUUAUAGAAACAGAAUUUAUUUCAAACUUAAGACUAUAUGAACUUGGCAAUUUCAUUGCAUAUGAAUGUGUCUGUCUUAACGAUUUAAUUAGUUACACUCCUCUUCAUGUUUAUACUCAUGAUACUGUAUCUUCGGUAAAAGUGAAACAUGCAUUAUCAUCAACACCUUUAUGUUAGAAUAUUUAUUUAGAUAAGGAUAAAAAUUGAUAUACUUCUUUGAUGUAAUAUAUGCAUUUUAAAAGAAUUUUUGAUUUUAUAGAAAAUAUAGACAUGUUUAAUAAGAAUAUUUUUUUAAUUAAAAAUACAACCGCAAUUUUAUGUAUAUUUAACAUCUCCGUAAAUUUCCUUCAAAUAUCCUUGAUGGCAUGUACACUCUGUAAGUUGAAUUAUACAGUCAAUUCUGCCGUUCAAAGUAAAAAGAUACAUAAGCAACAAUACAAACAUUGUUGUAAUUUACGCCUUUUUUACUUUGGACGGCAGAAUUUUAUAAGAAAUUUUUGAAUAUGGAUGUAUUUCUUCUUAUUAUUUGCAGUUUCUCAUUGAUGCUUGUGAUUCUUUGGAAAUUGCUUACAAUAGUUCUUGCAAGAUUGUACUUGAAGAAGAUGGAACUCUUAUUAAAAAAUUUACAUUAUUGGAGCACUUAUGUUCUAAGUACCCAAAUUCAUCAUUGCUUCUCAUGGUUUUAUUAGAUGAGAAGAAAUGGACACCUAAAACCGCACCAAUAAUUACAAAAGUAACAGAACACGACUCAGAUCUGGUUUCAUCUUCUAACGAAAAGACUAAAGACAUGAACAAUGCUACUGAAUUAUCUUUAAAGGAAAAAGAAAUACCAUUUGCUCUGCCUUGGGACAACAUUGUUC